AUGCAAGUCGAACGGUAACAGGAAGCAGCUUGCUUCUUCGCUGACGAGUGGCGGACGGGUGAGUAAUGUCUGGGAAACUGCCUGAUGGAGGGGGAUAACUACUGGAAACGGUAGCUAAUACCGCAUAACGUCGCAAGACCAAAGAGGGGGACCUUCGGGCCUCUUGCCAUCGGAUGUGCCCAGAUGGGAUUAGCUAGUAGGUGGGGUAACGGCUCACCUAGGCGACGAUCCCUAGCUGGUCUGAGAGGAUGACCAGCCACACUGGAACUGAGACACGGUCCAGACUCCUACGGGAGGCAGCAGUGGGGAAUAUUGCACAAUGGGCGCAAGCCUGAUGCAGCCAUGCCGCGUGUAUGAAGAAGGCCUUCGGGUUGUAAAGUACUUUCAGCGGGGAGGAAGGGAGUAAAGUUAAUACCUUUGCUCAUUGACGUUACCCGCAGAAGAAGCACCGGCUAACUCCGUGCCAGCAGCCGCGGUAAUACGGAGGGUGCAAGCGUUAAUCGGAAUUACUGGGCGUAAAGCGCACGCAGGCGGUUUGUUAAGUCAGAUGUGAAAUCCCCGGGCUCAACCUGGGAACUGC
rnacentral:rRNA from 2 species